rnacentral:misc_RNA from 1 species
GACACAGUCAGUGAAGAGUGAUUUUAGAGCUUAGCUUUGUUCAGAAGGAAGAGAACACUUGUCUGAGUCUGAGAGUCCUCAUGGUAAAUGAACAUCCAUGGCGAGGCUAUUUAUGUAAAUUGAGUAAUAGUAUUCACAUUCCUUCCAUCAUCUCUCCCGUGAACUGAGUUAAAUGUUUCAGAUAUCUUCUUCUUUUUGUUCUUAAGAGAAAGGAGAGAAAUGUUUUCUGAGAAUCCUUUCUCUUCUACUAAGCGCUCUCCUACUCCUAAGUUCUCCAACUCCUUCACCACUCGGUACUCAUCUCUCUCUUUCUGUAUAUAUAUGAAUAGACAGUGUUCACGUGCUUAUAUAUUGACUGGUGCAACAUUUCUUGUGUGUUCUCUUCUGUAAUGUGGCUCUGUUCUUUAUUUCUUGAGGGGUUUGCUGAUUAUGGAAUUUAAGGAUAAGGUUUGCACUAGAAUCUUAUAAGGAGAUCUGUAACUUGUCGUGUGCUGUUGGAGGUAUUCUUCUAAAUGGAAUUGAAUUAUAUCUUGUUGACUGAUGCUCUUUUUUUUCCCUGUUAAAUUAAGUCUAAUGGAUGAUAUUUAAAGGAAUAUAUGUUCUCUUUGUCCAUUGAAAAUAUGCUUGAUUAAUUUUCUCUUUCAUUUUCCUUUUCAAUUUCUCACUUGUAUUUACUGCAUUGAUUAUUUCAAAGUUUUUCCGGGCCUAGUAAAUUAACAAUUCGCCUUUCGUGGUUGCCUCAUUGUUAUGUUCUUGUUUUUUCCAGUUAGUGCUUUAGUUUGUUGUGAUCACCGCAAUGAAAAAAUGAUUAGUAAAAAAAAUUUAAGAGGAGGAGGAUACCCAGAUCUCAUACUUUAUUAACAUCUAGGGAUGUGAACGAUUCCAAUUCUGUAAUUUCAUGCUUUGAGAUUUGGUCCUGUGAUGGAUAUUCAUGAGCUCUCUGUGAAUAUGUUUGUCUUUUACUUUGAAAAUGCUCCUACUUGUUGUUUUUCUUUCAUACAGAAUCUUCUCAGAUGUGGCAGGGGACAUUACGAUUGUUGUGGAUGGGGAUUCAUUUCUGCUGCACAAGUUUCCCCUCGUGUCUCGGAGUGGAAAGAUACGGAAAAUGGUUGCAGAUGCCAAGGACUCAAAUGUUUCUAAACUGGAGCUUCACAACUUACCUGGCGGAUCUCACACGUUCGAACUUGCCAUGAAAUUCUGUUAUGGCAUGAACUUUGAGAUCACACCUGCAAAUGUUGCCUAUCUGCGCUGCGCUGCAGAAUACCUGGAAAUGACAGAAGACUACAGGGAAGAAAACCUCAUCGAGCGUACAGAGGUUUAUCUGAAUGAUGUUGUGGUUCAAAGUCUUGAAAAGUCGGUAGAAGUACUAUCUACUUGUGAGAUGCUGCCUUCCAUAGCAGAGGAGGUGGGAAUUCCAAAUAGAUGUAUUGAGGCCAUUGCCGUCAAUGCUAGCAAGGAGCAGUUAGUAUCAGGAUUGUCUCGGCUAGAUUGCGAUGCUCAAUCUACAGAACUUAAGAGCAGUUGCAUUGAGUGGUGGAUUGAAGAUCUCUCGGUAUUAAAGAUUGAUUAUUAUCAAAGAGUUAUCUGUGCCAUGGGAAAGGUUGGUGUUAGAUCGGACAGCAUAGUUGCCUCUUUAAUGCAUUAUGCUCAGACUUCGUUAAAGGGAAUUGGGAAAUGUCAUAUUUGGAAUCCAUCCAAGUUGAAACCAAGCCCCAGCAUGGUGGAAAAUGAUCAUUGCUCGAUCAUGGAAACUCUUGUGAGUCUAAUGCCAACAGAAAAGAGCUCUUCCAUCCCACAGGGUUUUCUAUUUGGGAUGUUAAGGAUGGCAAUCAUGUUAGACGCAACCAUUGCAUGUAGACUUGAGCUUGAGAGGAGAAUUGCUUUUUGUUUGGAAAUGGUUUCGCUCGAUGAUCUUCUCAUACCAUCUGUCCAGAGUGGGGAUUCAUUAUUUGAUGUUGAUACUGUCCAUCGGAUACUUGUCAAUUUCCUGCAGCGGAUUGAAGACGAAAAUGUAGAUUGUGGAUAUGAAUCUGAAGGCCUUGGAUCUUCAGACCAUGGUUCCUUGUUGAAAGUAGGCAGGCUUAUUGACGCAUAUCUAGCAGAAAUUGCUCCUGAUCCAUAUUUGAGUUUGCAGAAAUUCAUUGCUAUGAUUGAGAUACUGCCUGAUUAUGCUCGUGUGAUCGAUGACGGGCUUUACAGAGCAAUUGACAUAUAUUUGAAGGUAUAGUUUUCUAUGUAAAUGAUCUGAUGCUACAAAUAACAUUUCACAAAUCGCUUCUUUAAAUUUCUAAACCAAAGCCACAUGUUUACUUUCCUGAUUUUGUUCAUCAUUUUGUUGUGAAGGCUCAUCCAAUUUUAUCCGAGCACGAUUGCAAGAAGCUCUGCAAGUUCAUAGACUGCCAAAAACUAUCUCAAGAAGCAUGUAAUCAUGCUGCACAGAAUGAUCGACUGCCAGUACAAAUGACAGUGAGAGUAUUCUAUUUUGAGCAACUCCGAUUAAAGAAUUCCCUGUCUGGAAAUUCAGGAGAUGGGUUUGUAUCGCAGAGAAUAAGCAGUGGUGUGCCUAGUGCAGUCAUGUCUCCUAGAGAUAAUUAUGCUUCUUUACGGAGGGAAAAUCGUGAGCUUAAGCUUGAGAUAUCAAGAAUGCGAGUGAGGCUAAGCGAGUUGGAAAAGGAGCAGCAGCGCAUGAAACAAGGGAUGAUAGAUAAAUCAGGGAAUGGAAAAACCUUUCUCACCUCACUCUCUAAAGGGAUUGGAAGGAUUGGAAUUUUCAGCAGUCCAGCCGGGGGGAGGCGACAAAAAUCUAGUAGGAAAUCUCGGGGUUCAGAAGGAAAACCUGGUAGGAGUCGAAGGCAUUCUGUGUCUUAGGCAGAGUUCUAGAACAUAGUGCAUGUGCACUCAUACGUGCAAGAAAUUCCCUUAAAAUUAUAAAGGGUGAAACUUGUAUAAAUAGGAGAAAGGAUGAACUUUUUUUUUUAUAAUUUCCCAAGUUUUCUUGGUGUAUGUCAAUUUGCAAUUUUGAAGAAAUGAAAGAUUUUAUUUGCU